UUUAGAGUUCCAACUGAUUACAAUACAGAACCUGCCCAACAUAUUCUGCUCUGAGCUUGACCGACAUCUUCUUUCUGAAAAGAGUCAUCAGUCUAGAAAGACAACCAAAAUUGGGAAGACAUCAAAUGCUUUGACUGAAAUCCUAAGAAUCUACGAUUAACAGGAGGUACGUGACAUACACACCAAGUGUAUCACUGCUCUUCAUCUCCUUCCAGUCUAUCAACAUGAGGACGUCUCGGGGUUCUUCAGGACCUGCACAGACACAUCUGAUGAGCCAGAGCUUUAAGAUGUUGUAAAGGCCCUCCUUACAGUCAUCAUAGAUGACGACACAAGUC